UCGUAGCGCUUUGCAUUGUAGUUAUAGUGGUAUCACUGAUAUUCUUUAUCAGUGAUACCACUAUAACCAUAUCUUUAUCAGUGAUACCACUAUAACCACAAUGCAAAGCGCUACGAAAAC